ensembl:lncRNA
UAGAGGGAGUGUUAGAGGAGUGUCAGAGGGAGUGUCAGAGGGAGUGUCAGAGGGAGUGUCAGAGGGAGUGUCAGAGGGAGUGUCAGAGGGAGUGUCAGAGGAGUGUCAGAGGGAGUGUCAGAGGGAGUGUCAGAGGGAGUGUCAGAGGGAGUGUCAGAGGGAGUGUCAGAGGGAGUGUCAGAGGGAGUGUCAGAGGGAGAGUCAGAGGGAGAGUCAGAGGGAGAGUCAGAGGGAGAGUCAGAGGGAGAGUCAGAGGGAGAGUCAGAGGGAGAGUCAGAGGGAGAGGGAGAGACCCAGGGACAGACCCAGGGACAGACGGAUCCGGGUGCUAAAGCUGCUGAGGUGGAACCACGAACUUCUGCUGCAGAGGUAGCCGUGUGUCUCAGUGGGGCGGAGCCAAGCCAAGCCACACCCUUGUAUCCCGUGGAGGUGGAGCAAAGCCAGGCCUCAGCAGAAACACCUUCCUCAGACUGACCACUGGACCACAGUGCCCAUGGCCUCCACCCAUCAGUGAGCGCUGGGACGUACCUGGGAUGUGGAACAGCUUGUGACAGGCUGGGGUGUGCGUCAGUCUGAAGCCUGUUUUUAAAGACCGUGAUCAUGAUCUAUCAUUUUGCAGAUUGUUUUGUAACAUUUUGUUGGCUCAGUAUAAGCCCUGCCCUGCUGUGGCCAGCAGGUGUACAGUGGAUUGGGAAGGCCGUGCUUUGUUUCUGAUGCUACCUUUCUUUGAUGAUUUUUUUAUGUUUUAAGAAGCCAUGAUUGUGUAAUACAUGGGUUUAUCCAGUAGGAGCUGUUGACCUGAUUUGUCAAUCAUGUACAGUCUUUUAAUGCAGCUGCUCGAUACUGAUCAUGUGCACAACUGUUAGUGACACUGCCUCCUGAACGGGCCAUAUGCAAACAGGCCCUGUGAAGAUGUGUUUUAACUGUAUCAUAAACAUUCCACACUUGAAUGAUGUGUGAAUCUGUGGGCCUCCAGAGUUCAUCUAUAAAGCCUCUGAUCAGCAAUGAACUGUACAAUUGUGAAUUGCUGCUGUAGCAGCACAAUAAAGCUUUGGUUUGUUUUUGAUUUUAUCAAAUGUUCCAUUGUUUUCUCUUUAUGUUGCAGUAUUUUCUAUUAUUGGGCCAAAAAUUGAUACAUUUGGGCGGUAUGGUGGCACAGUGGUUAGCGCUCACGCUUCUAUGCAAGUUUCCCCUUACCACUAGAACAUGUACAAUAGGUUAAAACUCCAGUCAGGUGUUUCUGACCAUUAGCCUGGCCCAUCUGGAGAUGGGUCCCGAGGCGCCACACUCGGAGGCGUAGUUUGCCAUAAGGCAAGGCAGGCAGCUGCCUGGGGCCCCAAGCCAGCAGGGGGCCUGUGACGUUUGUCCUGUCACGGAAGCCCUACUGCGUUCUGGAGGAUAAAGCAGAGCUGAGGCGUUUUUUCUGUGCAGACCAAAGUGCCAUUUAUUCACAAAUGUACACACUAUUAUUAUUAUUAUUAUUAUUAUUAUUAUCAAUUAUCUUGAUAAAACAGUGAGAAUUACUUCAACAAUAUAAUCUUUAUUAACUCGGCAGUGAAUUCCUAAUUUAAAAAUAUACUCCGUUAAUAAAGCUAAAAAAUCCAGGACACCCCUCCCGUUCUGGCAGAGUGGAUGAACCCGGAACCCUCCCUAGGUGCUCCGGCUCUCUGGGGACUCUUUUGGCUGGAACACCUACAGAGAGAACAAAGCAAAGUUGCAAUUCUUCAAUAAAAACACUCAUGUAAUGGACCCCACUCCAUGACAGGGCUCCAGAGGGCCAACAGAUUUGACAGAAAUGACCAUGUCAUGGAGUGAUGUCCAUUACAUGGGGGAAAAGGGUUGUGGUGCAGACAUACACAUUUUAGAGUGUUUUUAUUGAUGAAUUGUAAUGUCGCUUUGUUCUCUCUGUAGGUGUUCCGGCCAAAAGAGUCCCCAGAGAGCCGGAGCACCUACGGAGGGUUCCGGGUUCAUCCACUCUGCCCGAACGGAAGGGGUGUCCUGGAUUUUUUAGCUUUAUUAAACAUAGUAUAUUUUUAAAUUAGGAAUUCACUGAGUUAAUAAAGAUUAUAUUGUACUGUAGUAGUUCUCACUGUUAUAUCAAGAUAAUUGGAAUGUCUGUAAUGUAUUUUGUACUUAAUGGUAUGUUCCAAUUAUGACCACUUGCUAUAAAAGCGGCCUACUCACUCUGCCUAGGGUGGGUGCUGCAUGGCAUGUGGUCAGGCAUGGUUUUUAAACUCUUUUUGUUGUAAAUUUGUGAUAAUAAACAGUACUUGGGUCUGCACA